GUCACUCCUCAAGUAGUCUCUCCAAAGGAGGAAUGUCUGACGUGGUAAGUAAGUUUGAGAGGAAACUGGAUUUUGUUGGAUCCACCCCUUCUGAAGUCUCUUGUUGUCUUCCUCCCUCAAGAGAUGUCUGCCCUAUUUUCCACUUGUUUGGAAACUAUCUCCCCUGUCUGGUGUCCUUGCAGCUGUGCAUCUGUCAGUCUGUGCUGGUAAGCUUUCUCCCUCAAAAACCGACUUGAUGUGCUUCUCUGUUCUUAUAAUAUCUGGCUCAUAUACCUGCAUUUCACUAACCUAACCUAUAUAUUAUAUAUAAUUUUGUUGUUUAUAUGUUCAUCUUUUAUACCUCACUGAGUUCCUUGAGGGUAGGAACAGUGAGUUGUAUUUUUUUUUGUUUUUUUGUUUUCUUUUUUUUUUUUUGACUCCAUGUUCUCAGAACUCUGGCACAGAGUAAAUACAAAAUAUUUCUUCUUCCUUUCUUCCUUCCCUCCUUCUCUCUCUCGUUCUCUCCCUCUCUCUUUCUCUCUUUAUUUCCUUUGUCUAUCUUUUAAAUCACCAAAACAAUACUUUGUAUGCAGUAGGUAUUUUCCUGCCUAGUACAUACCCAAGUAUUUUUCAAUAUCGUUGCAAAGUAAUUAGUCUUAGAAUUCCCACCUAGAUUUUUA
rnacentral:lncRNA from 1 species